rnacentral:snRNA from 1 species
UUAGCUUCCGGUUGGACAUGCGCACAUACAAAUAUGAAGGUAACCUACCUCCUUAAUAUCUGAUACGUCCCCCAAUGGGGGACUUCGAUAUUAAACUGAUUUUUGGACACAGGUGAGAUGUUAGGGGCUUGCUCCGCUCUCGCCACGGGUUGGCCCGGUAUUGCAGUACCUCCGGGAUCGGCCCACUCCCC